AGCGAACGCUGGCGGCAGGCCUAACACAUGCAAGUCGAACGAACCCCUCGGGGUUAGUGGCGGACGGGUGAGUAACACGUGGGAACGUGCCUUUAGGUUCGGAAUAACUCAGGGAAACUUGUGCUAAUACCGAUUGUGCCCUUCGGGGGAAAGAUUUAUCGACUUUAGAGCGGCCCGCGUCUGAUUAGCUAGUUGGCGAGGUAAUGGCUCACCAAGGCUACGAUCAGUAGCUGGUCUGAGAGGAUGACCAGCCACAUUGGGAACUGAGACACGGCCCAAACUCCUACGGGAGGCAGCAGUGGGGAAUCUUGCGGAAUGGGCGAAAGCCUGACGCAGCCAUGCCGCGUGGAUGAUGAAGGUCUUAGGAUUGUAAAAUCCUUUCACCGGUGAAGAUAAUGACUGUAGCCGGAGAAGAAGCCCCGGCUAACUUCGUGCCAGCCGCCGCAGUAAAAC
rnacentral:rRNA from 1 species